rnacentral:rRNA from 1 species
UGGGGAAUAUUGGACAAUGGGCGCAAGCCUGAUCCAGCCAUGCCGCGUGAGUGAUGAAGGCCCUAGGGUUGUAAAGCUCUUUCACCGGUGAAGAUAAUGACGGUAACCGGAGAAGAAGCCCCGGCUAACUUCGUGCCAGCAGCCGCGGUAAUACGAAGGGGGCUAGCGUAGUUCGGAUUUACUGGGCGUAAAGCGCACGUAGGCGGACUUUUAAGUCAGGGGUGAAAUCCCGGGGCUCAACCCCGGAACUGCCUUUGAUACUGGAAGUCUUGAGUAUGGUAGAGGUGAGUGGAAUUCCGAGUGUAGAGGUGAAAUUCGUAGAUAUUCGGAGGAACACCAGUGGCGAAGGCGGCUCACUGGACCAUUACUGACGCUGAGGUGCGAAAGCGUGGGGAGCAAACAGG